GAGUCACAUUUGCUAAUGCUUGACAACUUAGAGGUCGAGCCUGUAAUGGAGAAGACAGAGACUUGUCCAGUUUGGCUUCUGAGAUACAACAUGCAAGAGACCUCAUCACUUCCUAGUCCAACACACAAAGAUGUUCCUGAGAGAGCGGUGCGUCGUCAGAGCGUCCCUGGCAGCUCUGUUGUGAACACAUCCACAGCCAGAGUGACGGUGAACACAUACACACACACACACACCUUUUUUCCCAGCUGUACUCCUGCCUGUUGUUUCCAUGGCGACAGAAGCUCAGCUGCUGUCAGCGGUUGAUCAGCUGAC